AGAGUUUGAUCAUGGCUCAGAAUGAACGUUGGCGGCGUGGAUUAGGCAUGCAAGUCGAACGGGUCCGGCUUCGGCCGGGCCAGUGGCGGAAGGGUGAGUAAGGCGACGGCAACCAACCCCGAGGUCGGGUAUAGCCGCGGGAAACUGCGGGUAAUCCCCGGCGACGUGACGACGCCGACAUCGGCGUUUCACCAAAGGCGCAAGCCGCCUUGGGACGGGCCGUCGUGGUAUUAGGUCGUUGGCGGGGUAACGGCCCACCAAGCCGAUGAUGCCUACCGGGCGUGCGAGCGUGGCCCGGCACACUGGGACUGAGACACUGCCCAGACUCUUACGGGAGGCUGCAGUCGAGAAUCUUCGGCAAUGGGCGCAAGCCUGACCGAGCGACGCCGCGUGGAGGAUGAAGGCCUUCGGGUUGUAAACUCCUGUCGAGGGGGAGGAAGGGGCGACCUUGACCGAUCCCUGGAGGAAGCACGGGCUAAGUUCGUGCCAGCAGCCGCGGUAAUAC
rnacentral:rRNA from 1 species